rnacentral:rRNA from 1 species
AUUGAACGCUGGCGGCAUGCCUUACACAUGCAAGUCGAACGGCAGCACGGGGGCAACCCCUGGUGGCGAGUGGCGAACGGGUGAGUAAUGCAUCGGAACGUGCCCAGUAGUGGGGGAUAACUAGUCGAAAGAUUAGCUAAUACCGCAUACGACCUAUGGGUGAAAGCGGGGGAUUCGCAAGAACCUCGCGCUAUCGGAGCGGCCGAUGUCUGAUUAGCUAGUUGGCGGGGUAAAAGCCCACCAAGGCUUCGAUCAGUAGCUGGUCUGAGAGGACGACCAGCCACACUGGGACUGAGACACGGCCCAGACUCCUACGGGAGGCAGCAGUGGGGAAUUUUGGACAAUGGGCGCAAGCCUGAUCCAGCCAUGCCGCGU